rnacentral:rRNA from 1 species
AUUGAACGCUGGCGGCAGGCCUAACACAUGCAAGUCGAGCGAGCGGCGGACGGGUGAGUAAUGUCUGGGAUACUGCCUGAUGGAGGGGGAUAACUACUGGAAACGGUAGCUAAUACCGCAUACUAUCAGAUGUGCCCAUAUGGGAUUAGCUAGUAGGUGGGGUAACGGCUCACCUAGGCGACGAUCCCUAGCUGGUCUGUGAGGAUGACCAGCCACUCUGGAACUGUGACACGGUCCAGACGCCUACGGGAGGAAGCAGUGGGGAAGAUUGCGCAAUGUGCGCAAGCCUGCUGCAGCCAUGCCGCAUGUAUGAAGAAGGCCUUCGGGUUGUAAAGUACUUUCAGCGGGGAUGCGUUACCCUCAGAAGAAGCACCGGCUAACUCCGGGCCAGCAGCCGCAGUAAUGC